rnacentral:rRNA from 1 species
AAACCAACAGGGAUUGCCUCAGUAACGGCGAGUGAAGCGGCAAGAGCUCAAAUUUGAAAUCUGGCCCCCUCGGGGCCCGAGUUGUAAUUUGUAGAGGAUGCUUCGGGUGGAGCCGCGGUCUAAGUCCCCUGGAACGGGGCGUCGCAGAGGGUGAGAAUCCCGUCUUCGGCCGGCCGGCUUCGCCCGUGUGAAGCUCCUUCGACGAGUCGAGUUGUUUGGGAAUGCAGCUCUAAAUGGGUGGUAAAUUUCAUCUAAAGCUAAAUACUGGUCGGAGACCGAUAGCGCACAAGUAGAGUGAUCGAAAGAUGAAAAGCACUUUGAAAAGAGAGUUAAACAGCAUGUGAAAUUGUUGAAAGGGAAGCGCUUGCGAUCAGAGUCGUCCGCGGGGGCUCAGCGGGCAUUCGUUGCCCGUGCACUCCCCCGCGGUCGGGCCAGCGUCGGUUCUGACGGCCGGUCAAAGGCCCCCGGAAUGUGUCGCCUCUCGGGGCGUCUUAUAGCCGGGGGUGCAAUGCGGCCUGUCGGGACCGAGGAACGCGCUCCGGCACGGACGCUGGCUUAAUGGUCGUAAGCGAC